AUUGAACGCUGGCGGCAGGCCUAACACAUGCAAGUCGAACGAGUGGCGGACGGGUGAGUAAUGUCUGGGAAACUGCCCGAUGGAGGGGGAUAACUACUGGAAACGGUAGCUAAUACCGCAUACCAUCGGAUGUUCCCAGAUUGGAUUAGCUAGUAGGUGGGGUAACGGCUCACCUAGGCAACGAUCCCUAGCUGGUAUGAGAGGAUGACCAGCCACACUGGAACUGAGACACGGUCCAGACUCCUACGGGAGGCAGCAGUGGGGAAUAUUGCGCAAUGGGCGCAAGCCUGAUGCAGCCAUGCCGCGUGUAUGAAGAAGGCCUUCGGGUUGUAAAGUACUUUCAGCAAGGAGGCGUUACUCGCAGAGAAAGCACCGGCUAACUCCGUGCCAGCAGCCGCGGUAAUAC
rnacentral:rRNA from 1 species